AGAGGGGGCAAGCGUUGUUCGGAAUUACUGGGCGUAAAGGGCGCGUAGGUGGCCUGCUAAGUCGAACGUGAAAUCCCCGGGCUCAACCCGGGAACUGCGUCCGAUACUGGUUGGCUUGAAUCCGGGAGAGGGAUGUGGAAUUCCAGGUGUAGCGGUGAAAUGCGUAGAUAUCUGGAGGAACACCGGUGGCGAAGGCGGCAUCCUGGACCGGUAUUGACACUGAGGCGCGAAAGCCAGGGGAGCAAACGGGAUUAGAUACCCCGGUAGUCCUGGCCCUAAACGAUGAAUGCUUGGUGUGGUGGGUAUCGAUCCCUACCGUGCCGAAGCUAACGCAUUAAGCAUUCCGCCUGGGGAGUACGGUCGCAAGGCUGAA
rnacentral:rRNA from 1 species